GACGAACGCUGGCGGCGUGCUUAACACAUGCAAGUCGAACGGAAAGGCCCGCUUGCGGGUACUCGAGUGGCGAACGGGUGAGUAACACGUGGGCAACCUGCCCUCAGCUUUGGGAUAACUCCCGGAAACGGGUGCUAAUACCGAAUAUUGACACAGUGUCGCAUGGUGUUGUGUUGAAAGUUUUUCGGCUGGGGAUGGGCCCGCGGCCUAUCAGCUUGUUGGUGGGGUGAUGGCCUACCAAGGCGACGACGGGUAGCCGGCCUGAGAGGGCGAUCGGCCACACUGGAACUGAGACACGGUCCAGACUCCUACGGGAGGCAGCAGUGGGGAAUAUUGCGCAAUGGGCGGAAGCCUGACGCAGCGACGCCGCGUGAGGGAUGAAGGUCUUCGGAUUGUAAACCUCUUUCAGUAGGGACGAAUAAAAGACGGUACCUGCAGAAGAAGCACCGGCCAACUACGUGCCAGCAGCCGCGGUAAUACGUAGGGUGCGAGCGUUGUCCGGAAUUAUUGGGCGUAAAGAGCUCGUAGGCGGUUCGUCGCGUCGAAUGUGAAAUCCCGGGGCUCAACUCCGGGUCUGCAUUCGAUACGGGCGGACUAGAGUUCGGUAGGGGAGACUGGAAUUCCUGGUGUAGCGGUGAAAUGCGCAGAUAUCAGGAGGAACACCGGUGGCGAAGGCGGGUCUCUGGGCCGAUACUGACGCUGAGGAGCGAAAGCGUGGGGAGCGAACAGGAUUAGAUACCCUGGUAGUCCACGCCGUAAACGGUGGGCGCUAGGUGUGGGGGACUUCCACGUUCUCUGUGCCGCAGCUAACGCAUUAAGCGCCCCGCCUGGGGAGUACGGCCGCAAGGCUAAAACUCAAAGGAAUUGACGGGGGCCCGCACAAGCGGCGGAGCAUGCUGAUUAAUUCGAUGCAACGCGAAGAACCUUACCAAGGCUUGACAUACACCGGAAACUUCCAGAAAUGGUUGCCCCGCAAGGUCGGUGUACAGGUGGUGCAUGGUUGUCGUCAGCUCGUGUCGUGAGAUGUUGGGUUAAGUCCCGCAACGAGCGCAACCCUCGUCUUAUGUUGCCAGCACGUCAUGGUGGGGACUCAUAAGAGACUGCCGGGGUCAACUCGGAGGAAGGUGGGGAUGAGGUCAAAUCAUCAUGCCCCUUAUGUCUUGGGCUUCAAGCAUGCUACAAUGGCCGGUACAAAGGGCUGCGAUACCGCGAGGUGGAGCGAAUCCCAAAAAGCCGGUCUCAGUUCGGAUUGGGGUCUGCAACUCGACCCCAUGAAGUCGGAGUCGCUAGUAAUCGCAGAUCAGCAACGCUGCGGUGAAUACGUUCCCGGGCCU
rnacentral:rRNA from 1 species